AUCAUUCUCUUCAUCAUCACUCACUCACACUCUCUAUCCCUUUCAUAUAUUUCUCUCCUAUCCCCUCCUUAAAGAAAGGCGAGACUUUUGGGGGAUAAGGAACCAAAAGAGAUCUUGAGAGAGAAAGAGAGAGUAUCACAAACACAACACAUCUAAUGAGAUUAUUAUCGAAGGAAAAAGGAAGCUUUUCUAUUGUGGGGAAUGUUGUUUGGCUCGAGGAUUCAAUUUCUUACUUUCUUUUAUAGAUCUGUAUAUAUGGAUCUAUAAUAUAGGAUUAUGUCUUUGGUAUCGUCGGACCAGGCUUCAUUCCCCUCAAAGAUUGCUACCGUAAUCCUUGCUCACUCGUCAGACAUUUUCGCGAUCUCAAAUAUUUUUGUGUAUUCAGUGCUAGAUGUGAUGGAUUUCGUUCUAGCUAGUGCUUGAAAACAGUGGCGGAGUCGGGAUUUUCAGGAAUGAGGUUCAAAUUUUCUCUUUUUUGUAACUAGUGGUAAUUGAAUCUAUAAUCUUACGAAGAUUUUGAACCCCCUGAUCACUAAACUACACUUUUGGGUUGUGCUAAGGGGGUUCAAAACUUAAUAUAUAGACGUAAAAAACAGAUUUUGCCUUAUAUAUACAGUGUAAUAUUUUGGCGAGACCCCUAAAUCCGCCACUGCUUGAAAAUAAUAUUUCAAAGUUUGUAUGUUCU